rnacentral:lncRNA from 1 species
CGGGUCAAUAUUUUUUAUUAUCAUAACUUAAUAUGACAAAUUUCCUAACGAUAAAAUAAAUCAAAACAAAUCAAGUUAGAAUAUAUAAAAAAAAAAAAACAUGAAAUCAAAUAUCUAGAAAAUCACCUAGUCCAACUCACGGUUUGCUUGAGGAAUGGCGAGGAGCAGCUGGUUGAACUGCGAUGGUGGCUCGCCGUUCGGAACAAGGGCUAUCCGUCGGAGCUCCGGCGAGGUUCGGAAGUAACCAGACCUGCAGCAAAACAGAGGAGGCAGCAAAUGGUCCUGUUCGGGCGUGGAGCCG